CGUAACCCAGGAGAACAUUGAUGCUGUACGGCAACUGAUCGUCGAAGAUCGCCAUGCGACAUACCGUGAGAUAGAAGCUUCCUUGAGUAUUUCAGGGACCAGUGUUCACAGUAUUUUGCAUGAUCAAUUAGGCGUAAAAAAUUGAUCUCACGCUGGAUACCACAUUUACUCAGUGAAGACCAAAAAACGGCUCGCGUUCGAUGGUGUCGCAAAACUCUGCGGCAAUUCAACCGAGGAAACUCGAAACAUGUUUACGACAUUAUCAGUGGUGACGAAUCUUGGAUAUAUGCUUACGAUCCCGAUUCUAAACAGCAGUCGACUGUUUGGGUGUUCCAAGAUGAGCCAAAACCGACCAAAGUAAUACGCUCACGGAGCACUUCGAAAAAAAUGGUGGCCACGUUUGUGGCGAAAAGUGGCCACGUUGCCACCAUCGUGCUCGAGGAUCGUAAAACGGUUAAUGCUGACUGGUAUACCACUGUCUGUUUACCAGAAGUCAUCGGCGAGUUUCGAAAAAAUAACCCAAGACGUCGUAUAAGACUGCACCACGAUAAUGCGAGCUCGCACACCGCCCGGCAAACAAUUGCGUUUUUAAAAGAGCAAAACGUCGAAAUUCUGGAACACCCCCGCCGUACAGUCCAGACUUAGCCCUAACGAUUUUUUUACUUUUCCAAAAAUCAAGCAACGACUUCGUGGUCAACGGUACCAGACGCGUGAAGAAGCGGUUGAGGCAUACAAAAUGGCCAUUUUGGAGUCCCCGACGUCGGACUGGAAUAAGUGUUUCGAAAACUGGUUCGAUCGAAUGAAAAAGUGUAUUACAUAUCACGGUGAUUACUUUGAAAAACAAUAAAUACCAUUGAACACUUAAA